rnacentral:rRNA from 1 species
AACGAACGCUGGCGGCAUGCCUAACACAUGCCAGUCGAACGAUUGCCUUCGGGUGAUAGUGGCGCACGGGUGCGUAACGCGUGGGAAUCUGCCCUUAGGUUCGGAAUAACAGCUGGAAACGGCUGCUAAUACCGGAUGAUAUCGCGAGAUCAAAGAUUUAUCACCUGAGGAUGAGCCCGCGUUGGAUUAGGUAGUUGGUGGGGUAAAGGCCUACCAAGCCGACGAUCCAUAGCUGGUCUGAGAGGAUGAUCAGCCACACUGGGACUGAGACACGGCCCAGACUCCUACGGGAGGCAGCAGUGGGGAAUAUUGGACAAUGGGCGCAAGCCUGAUCCAGCAAUGCCGCGUGAGUGAUGAAGGCCCUAGGGUUGUAAAGCUCUUUUACCCGGGAAGAUAAUGACUGUACCGGGAGAAUAAGCCCCGGCUAACUCCGUG